CCAGUGUCCUGUACAAGAGCUUCCCACUUUCCCAUCACUUACUUGUGCCCAGAAUUUAUCUCCUGCAGCAAGACCUUUGUAGCUCAGCUGGGAGGGACAAGCCCCGCUGCAGUCAGUGGCCUUGGGCUACAGCAAGGAGUUGUCGGUGGCGUCGGGGCGAGAGUUCCCACCAGAGACACAUCAGAGGCAGGUCCAUAUCUCAGGUUCCGGCUGCUCCGGGAGCGCUGAUGGAGGGAGAAAGCUCUGGACGCCAAGUGCAGCUGAACUUCUCCGCCGCAGCACACAGGUUGGCACACCGUCGAAUGGGUACUGCAGCCGUCACUUUGCGACCUGCUGCCUCUGGGAAGCUUUCUUUCGAGUCCA